rnacentral:rRNA from 1 species
UACAGAGGGGGCAAGCGUUGUUCGGAAUUACUGGGCGUAAAGGGCGCGUAGGCGGCCUGUUAAGUCGAACGUGAAAUCCCCGGGCUCAACCCGGGAACUGCGUCCGAUACUGGCAGGCUUGAAUCCGGGAGAGGGAUGCGGAAUUCCAGGUGUAGCGGUGAAAUGCGUAGAGAUCGGGAGGAACACCUGUGGCGAAGGCGGCCGACUGGGCCGACCCUGACGCUGAGGCGCGAAGGCGUGGGGAGCGAACAGG